UGGCCAGACUCCUACGGGAGGCAGCAGUGAGGAAUAUUGGUCAAUGGGCGAGAGCCUGAACCAGCCAAGUCGCGUGAGGGAGUACUGCCCUAUGGGUUGUAAACCUCUUUUGUCGGGGAGCAAAAGCCGGACGUGUCCGGCUGUGAGAGUACCCGAAGAAAAAGCAUCGGCUAACUCCGUGCCAGCAGCCGCGGUAAUACGGAGGAUGCGAGCGUUAUCCGGAUUUAUUGGGUUUAAAGGGUGCGCAGGCGGAUUUUUAAGUCAGCGGUCAAAUCGUGGGGCUCAACCCCGUCCGGCCGUUGAAACUGGGGGCCUUGAGUGGGCGAGAAGAAGGCGGAAUGCGUGGUGUAGCGGUGAAAUGCAUAGAUAUCACGCAGAACCCCGAUUGCGAAGGCAGCCUUCCGGCGCCCUACUGACGCUGAGGCACGAAAGCGUGGGUAUCGAACAGGAUUAGAUACCCGAGUA
rnacentral:rRNA from 1 species